GGGGAAUAUUGCACAAUGGGCGAAAGCCUGAUGCAGCGACGCCGCGUGAGGGAUGAAGGCCUUCGGGUUGUAAACCUCUUUCAGCAGGGAAGAAGCGAAAGUGACGGUACCUGCAGAAGAAGCACCGGCUAACUACGUGCCAGCAGCCGCGGUAAUACGUAGGGUGCGAGCGUUGUCCGGAAUUAUUGGGCGUAAAGAGCUUGUAGGCGGUUUGUCGCGUCUGCUGUGAAAAUCCGGGGCUCAACCCCGGACUUGCAGUGGGUACGGGCAGACUAGAGUGUGGUAGGGGAGACUGGAAUUCCUGGUGUAGCGGUGAAAUGCGCAGAUAUCAGGAGGAACACCAAUGGCGAAGGCAGGUCUCUGGGCCACCACUGACGCUGAGAAGCGAAAGCGUGGGGAGCGAAC
rnacentral:rRNA from 1 species